GCGAGAGAGUUCAGUUGUACGUAGCGAGUCGCGAGAGCAUGUAGUUGCUAGUUGCACUCGGUCAGUGCCAGUAGCGCGCGAGAGACAGUCGGAGUUGUGUGAGGAGUCGGCGGGCGUCGACAUGGCCCUCUGGUCAAGAUUCAGGACGAGGUAUAUUUUUUAAAUAAGACCUCCAAUCGAUUCGCGUCUUGCGUCGGCGACGUACAUCAGAAGAAGACGACAAAAAGAGUGGCGCUAUUGACAACUCUGUCAGGAUGUGUGCAUGUAAACAGAGGAGAAAUUUAAUGGGGAUUUCGGAGAACAGAGGGUUGUGAGCAUGGAUACAGACGAAGGUACUGCGAGUAGUUGUGAAGAAAUCAAGAAGUGGAUCGCCAAACAAUCCAAUGCAAAAAGAUACGAUCCUCACCAAAUCAUCACAAGAAAGUAUUUGCUUCACCAAGACAGAAUCAGGGAAAAAGGUCCAACAAGCCUCGUAUAGGAGAGGCAUAUAAUGCACUGCAAACAGUUGUAUCUAAAAGUAAAGACAAGUUUGACACUUGUGAAGAAUGUUCUACGAUUCAUGGACAAAAGAACGCAUGCUUUUGUUAAAAAAGAAUUUUCCAAUAUGGUUUUCAGAACACAAAGCGGCUGUUUCUAACAUUCUAGACCAAAUUCAGCCAACAGUGACUGCAGCUGCUAGUCACAUUUAUCCAUUCCUUCAACUCAGCAUGUACAAGCCCAUGAUUACAUGCAACAUUGAACAACAAGGCUCUCCCCAUUUUCUGGAUUUGCUUGAUUUAUAAUACUUAAUAAAAGUAAUAAUCUUUGUGUUCAGUUUUUUUACUCA